CCCCUCUCAGGGUCGCACCUGGAGAGUUUCCAACACUCCACCAGUCUUGAAUAUGGAAGGGAGAGUCAAGCAGAGGCCUAACCAUUCCAUUGCUACCUUGGGCAGUGGCUAGACAGUGGAAGGCAAUCUGCCACAAAU
rnacentral:snoRNA from 1 species